ensembl:snRNA U6 U6 spliceosomal RNA
GUGCUUGCUUCAGCAGCAUAUAUACUAAGAUUAGAAUAAUACAGAGAAGAUUAGCAUGGCCUCUAAGCAAGGAUGACAUGCAAAUUCUUGAAGCAUUCCAUAUUUUU